UACGGGGGGGGCAAGCGUUGUUCGGAAUUACUGGGCGUAAAGGGCGCGUAGGCGGUUUGCUAAGUUGGAUGUGAAAACUCUGGGCUUAACCCAGAGCCUGCAUCCAAAACUGGCAAACUUGAGUACUGGAGGGGAAAGCGGAAUUCCUGGUGUAGCGGUGAAAUGCGUAGAUAUCAGGAGGAACACCGAUGGCGAAGGCAGGUCUCUGGGCCACUACUGACGCUGAGAAGCGAAAGCAUGGGGAGCGAACAGG
rnacentral:rRNA from 1 species